rnacentral:rRNA from 1 species
UACGAAGGGGGCUAGCGUUGUUCGGAAUCACUGGGCGUAAAGCGCACGUAGGCGGAUGUGUCAGUCAGGGGUGAAAUCCCGGGGCUCAACCUCGGAACUGCCUCUGAUACAGCACAUCUUGAGUCCGGAAGAGGUGGGUGGAAUUCCUAGUGUAGAGGUGAAAUUCGUAGAUAUUAGGAAGAACACCGGUGGCGAAGGCGGCCCACUGGUCCGGUACUGACGCUGAGGUGCGAAAGCGGGGGGAGCAAACAGG